rnacentral:rRNA from 1 species
UGAUCCUGGCUCAGAGUGAACGCUGGCGGCAGGCCUAACACAUGCAAGUCGUACGGCAGCACAGUGGUAGCAAUACCAUGGGUGGCGAGUGGCGGACGGGUGAGGAAUACAUCGGAAUCUACCUUUUCGUGGGGGAUAACGUAGGGAAACUUACGCUAAUACCGCAUACGACCUUAGGGUGAAAGCGGAGGACCUUCGGGCUUCGCGCGGAUAGAUGAGCCGAUGUCGGAUUAGCUAGUUGGCGGGGUAAAGGCCCACCAAGGCGACGAUCCGUAGCUGGUCUGAGAGGAUGAUCAGCCACACUGGAAGUGAGACACGGUCCAGACUCCUACGGGAGGCAGCAGUGGGGAAUAUUGGACAAUGGGCGCAAGCCUGAUCCAGCCAUGCCGCGUGGGUGAAGAAGGCCUUCGGGUUGUAAAGCCCUUUUGUUGGGAAAGAAAAGCAGUCG